UGGAAGUUUCUGUGGAUAUUUGGUUGUUGGUGAACCUGACGCGAAUCGAGUGGUGAAUCGAAGCUUCUUCUGCUUUCAGCUGGUCAUGUCUUCCUAGGCUCGGCGUUUUGGGUAGCUUUCCGACGUUUUGGGAUUGAUUCCGGCGAGGUCUCAAAUUUUAGGGUUUUUGUCAUUCGGAGCUAGGGAAUUCACUGUCUAUUGAAGGUUGUUCUUCUCCGGUCGCGAAGAAGUAGGGUAAAUCUAUUCUCACUCUUAGUUAAAGAUUUUGCAU
rnacentral:lncRNA from 1 species